AAAAUAUCUUCAUUGCAGUCGGGUUUCACACUUCUCUUUGUCUCAUGGUAUUUUGUUGCUGGCUAGUUAGCGGAUAUUAAGCGUCUCCCGGUUUGAAAUUGAUUUUGAAAGUGAUUUACUAUGACAAGGUAAGCGUAUCUCUGUCUCUGGUUUGAAAUUUAGCUUUGAAAGUGAAUUUUUUUUAUGUGUUUCUUUAUCGAUUUCUUUGUUUCGGCACGUUCGGCACGAUGCUAAAGCCAGUUAGCGCACAUUCAGCUACGGCAAGCGUUUCUGUCCCUGCUCCUGUUUUGAAAUUGACCUUUGAAACUGCUUUUCUGUGUUUUGACGCUGAUAUCUACAAAAUGACUGUGAUUUUAUUCCACUGCUGUUGUUUGUAAUUAAAACUUUUAAGAUUAGAUGGUACAGUGUUUUUACUCCCUUCCAAACAGUAAAGUUCCUCUUUGUUUCUCAGUAGGAAAUUUAAACCAGACAGUACAAGGCUACAUUUCAGUGUUACAAGCCAAUCAGUUUGCUAAUUGUUCUGUGAGAUUUGUUUGCAAAGUUUAAGGUGUUAAGUAGGACUGUGAACAUCUGGGUCUGCUUGCUGCUGGCAUUCUGCCACAGCCCCAGCAACAAGACCGCCUCCCAGCAACGAGACUGCCUGUCAGCCUUGCAAGGUACCCAAUUUUCCAAUUACUCUAUAACAAAACUGUUGUGGGCAACUAGACUGUCUCCUAAGUUUGCAAGCCAAUCACUUUGCCAAAUGUUCUUGUAAGAUUUGUUUGAAAAGUUUGAGGUGGUAACUGUGAGCUGUGAACAUCUGGGUUUGCUUGCUGCUGGCAUUUGACCAGCGUCUCAGCAACAACACUGCCUCCCAGCUUUGCAAGGUAAUUACUUUCCCAAUUACUGUACACCAAAACGAAGUAACUGUCGUGGUCAACAAAUCUGCCUCCCAACUUUCAAGGUAAUCACUUUCUCAAUUACAAUAUACAAACUGUUAUGGAACUUUACUUAAGAAAGCUUUAAGACCGG
ensembl:lncRNA